UUCUAAAGGUUCAUCCAUGUACUCCCUUGCCUAUUCUACUCAACCAGUUUCGUUUUAGCAAUUCGUCAAAUUUUCAUGAGCAUUAAACUGCAUAAGAUUUCAUUGUGUAUAAGCAUGUUAUAUGAAAGAAAAAAAAAAUGUGAACUUUACUUGAUAUAUGCAUACAGUAUAAAUUUCAUGUACUGCAUUUACAAUGGAACAAUAAAAAGAGAAAUAGAGAAAUGUUAUGUAUGCUGUAUGAAUCGAACUUGAGUCUUGAGCUUUGUCGGGUGUGGGCUGUGUGGUUGUAAGUGUCGAGU
rnacentral:lncRNA from 1 species